rnacentral:sRNA from 1 species
AAUUAAAUUAGUAUUUGACUUUUUAAUCCUUAAAGAGAUAAAUUAAUUUACUUUUUAAAAUUUUAUUUCUAAUGGCAUACCUAUGUAAUUACUUACAAAAAUUAAGGUUAUAUUUAAAAUGUACUUCCCAAAUAAUAUAGUAGGAUUGUCACUACGACUACGAGGGACACUUGCUAAAUUUUCGGAAUAUUUUAUCUUAUGAAUUAGAAGGAAAAUUAUUAUGGAAGUUGUAAUAAAACAUGUAC